UACGUAGGGGGCAAGCGUUGUCCGGAAUCAUUGGGCGUAAAGAGCGUGUAGGCGGCCAGAAAAGUCCGCUGUGAAAACUCGAGGCUCAACUUCGAGCUGUCGGUGGAAACUUUCUGGCUAGAGUCCGGAAGAGGAGAAUGGAAUUCCUGGUGUAGCGGUGAAAUGCGUAGAUAUCGUGAGGAAGACCAGUGGCGAAGGCGGGUCUCUGGACAGUUCCUGGACACUGAGCACGAAGGCUAGGGGAGCAA
rnacentral:rRNA from 1 species